rnacentral:rRNA from 1 species
UACGGGGGGGGCAAGCGUUGUUCGGAAUUACUGGGCGUAAAGGGCUCGUAGGCGGCCAACUAAGUCGGAUGUGAAAUCCCCAAGCUUAACUUGGGAACUGCAUCCGAUACUGGAUGGCUUGAAUCCGGGAGAGGGAUGCAGAAUUCCAGGUGUAGCGGUGAAAUGCAUAGAUAUCUGGAGGAAUACCGGUGGCGAAGGCGGCAUCCUGGACCGGCAUUGACGCUGAGGAGCGAAAGCUAGGGGAGCAAACGGG